UCAAUUAUGUUCAUGUAGUGUUUAACCAAGAGCUGAGAGAGAAGCCUUGGAACAGAGAAAGAUGCUAUUAGCAAAAAGAGUCUUUUGGAUUUAAUUCUCCUCUGCUUUACCUUGAGGUCCCUCUGCCAUUGCUCAUCUGCUUAUGUACUACUACAAUUGCUCGUCAUCAUUUCCUUACAAUUAUAACAGUAGAGGAGGGACUCUAGCAUGCUGAUCAACUUUUCGGUUUGUAAACUCAGAUCGAAUCAAAGCUGGACAAUGAUCCUGAAGCCCUACAAGGCUACAAGCAACAUUCUAUUUCAGGAAUGGGGAAGAAUCUAAUGGCAUGUCCUUUAUUGUUGUUGUUUUCCAUAAAUAGAAAAAGGAAUACCUGCUUUUUCAUUGCUUAUACAACGAGCAAGUCUUUUUGAUUGUGAAGGUCACUAUCAAGGGCAUAUUUAAUUGACAUUCAUGACAAG